GACAGAGGGUGCAAACGUUGUUCGGAAUUACUGGGCGUAAAGCGCACGUAGGCGGAUCUUUAAGUCAGGGGUGAAAUCCCGAGGCUCAACCUCGGAACUGCCUUUGAUACUGGGGAUCUCGAGUCCGGAAGAGGUUGGUGGAACUGCGAGUGUAGAGGUGAAAUUCGUAGAUAUUCGCAAGAACACCAGUGGCGAAGGCGGCCAACUGGUCCGGUACUGACGCUGAGGUGCGAAAGCGUGGGGAGCAAACAGG
rnacentral:rRNA from 1 species